GGUAGCUCAACUGGUUAGAGCGAGGUGCUGAUAAUGCCAAGGUUGCAGGUUUGAUUCCCGUAUGGGACA